GACCUUUUUAUUCUCUAUAACUGACAAAUCAUGAUGACAUCUGGGUAUACGGACACCGCUGGAACAAGUCCGUGCUCCAGUUUCUUGUUUACAGGGCAGACCAGUCCGCCCAUCUCAUAUAUGAUUGGUUAGUUUAACUUAGUGACACCAGCCUCUUUCUGAAAGGUUGAGAUGUUUUCAACCAGAAGCUGGGAGCGGCCGCACAGAAGGAAAACCGACGCUGGAACAAGAGGCUUUUUGAACACAGGCCAUUACAGCAGACGCCGUGUGCAGUGACCACAGCCGCCAUUCGGCGGUUGUCUUGACGUCAGGAGACAAGAUGGAGGCCGGUGUUGUGGCAGUUUGUACAGUUGGUGCUGUGGUGCUCGUCUCUGGCGGGACGCCAGGCUGCAGCUACCGGGGCUUUUCAGAGUCAACACUCAGCACACCAUGUGACCCAGGCAGCCAAUCAGGUCGCCCAGGCAGCCUGUCUUCAAACCAGUCAGAUCAGUCCUGGGCCAGCAGCCAUCUUGGUUCUACACGCUAGCUGGGUGGGGAACUGAAUAAGGAUUCAUACAUUCUAUUAUUUGAUCUGAUGAGAGAUUAUAUCUGUUUUCAUGAUGUUAAAGCUAUUUAGAUUUAGUAUAAUUGUGUUAAUAUUGUAUAUCAUAGGAUAGUAUAAAAUACUGAAUAAAUGAAAGGCUAUCUAAAUAACCAAAAUCUUAAAUGCCAUUAAUAAAUGUUUUUGUGAAUGUAUAAGUAUCACAUGGCUUCUUAUUUUUUAAGACUAAAUAUAAUAAUUUAUUAUUAAUUUCUGUAUUUUUUUAUUCAAUCAAGUCCUAAGGAUUAAUCUAUAACCUAACAGCCUUUAAUAAUAAACCUAACCUCUAAACGAAAUAUGUAAACCUAAUUUAGCAAUAAGUACAUUAAAUUUAUGUAGGCAGAACAAUUUUUAUGUAUUUAUUGACAGAAUAACCAAACUAUGAUCCAAUUCCCCAAAGAACACAGAAAACCCAGCAAAGAGCAUUAAAGCUAAAGCAUCCUAGCUCGACUGUGGUAGCCUAUGUAGCAAUGCAAUUCUCUAGCUAGCAGAACUUUAAGGCUGAAUCCGAAUAAUUAGUAGGCCUACAUACUAUUUCUGUUCAGUGUCUACCACUUGACGGUACUGUCUACGGCUAUGCGUAGAACGCCUCCGAACGCUUCCGAACACCGCCGAAACUCCACCGGAUGUUUGGAGAUGACGUAUCUCCCCUCAGAUGCCGGCAAAAUUACCUUGAUAAGUUGCCUGUUUUCCGUCUUGUCAUCGUUGCUAUCAAAUAAAAAAUGUCUCUUUUUACUUAAUUACUUACUUUACUAUUUUACUCUUUUUAAUGUCUCUUUUUUUCGAUGCUUACUACGACGUCUUUCUGGUGGCGUCGGGUCAGCCAUCUCUUCUUCGUUCGUUACCAGACUCCGGUUGCAUUGUGGGAUAGCGUAGUGAACUCCGUGGUUUACUUUGGCGGUAGUACGCAUUCGGAAACGUUUUCCGUACUACACAAUGCGUACUGAGCAUUCGGACGCGCUAUAUUUGUGGCGUACUACAAAAUACAUACUAUAUAGCAGUCAAGUAUGAGUAUUCGGAUUCAGCCAGAAUCUCACUGUCCAAAACCUUGAUUCAGAAUCUUUGAACAUUAUUUGAAACAUAAAAAUGACUAAACAAUAUAACAUAAUUUAAAUCUUAUAAGAUGA